AUGUAGCAUAUCCACCGGUAAUAUCUUUCUUCAGCCCAACCAAAAAUAACAAGACUUGUUGAGGGAUAUAUCGAUAAAUACAGAAAAUCUUGAGAUGUUAGGCAGAGUGCUUAUGUAUCUUUUGCACAUUUAAUUAAUGAAAGUCUUAUACAAUUUAAACCGGGUAUCAUGAAAUUCUGGAUUUUUUCAUGAAAUGUUCCGUCAAU